GCCCACUUGGCUCAGUGGUAGAGCGUGUCAACAGUGCCGUCCCUAAGAAAUAUCUCUAGAACAGUAUCUGUCAAUGGCAAGAUCCUCAGUUCAACUCUGAGAGUGGGUA
rnacentral:tRNA from 1 species